UGGGGAAUCUUGCACAAUGCGCGAAAGCGUGAUGCAGCAACGCCGCGUGGGGGAAGAAGGCCUUCGGGUUGUAAACCCCUUUCAGUUGGGACGAAGCUUCGCCGGUGAAUAGCCGGCUGGAGUGACGGUACCUUCACAAGAAGCCCCGGCUAACUACGUGCCAGCAGCCGCGGUAAUACGUAGGGGGCAAGCGUUGUCCGGAAUCAUUGGGCGUAAAGCGCGUGUAGGCGGCCCGGUAAGUCCGCUGUGAAAGUCGGGGGCUCAACCCUCGGAUGCCGGUGGAUACUGUCGGGCUUGAGUACGGAAGAGGCGAGUGGAAUUCCUGGUGUAGCGGUGAAAUGCGCAGAUAUCAGGAGGAACACCAAUUGCGAAGGCAGCUCGCUGGGACGUUACUGACGCUGAGACGCGAAAGCGUGGGGAGCAAACA
rnacentral:rRNA from 1 species